UACGGAAGGGGCAAGCGUUGUUCGGAAUCAUUGGGCGUAAAGGGCGCGUAGGUGGUUCUGUAUGUCUACCGUGAAAGCGUACGGCUCAACCGUAUUUUGUCGGUCGAAACUGCAGGACUUGAGGCUGGGAGGGGCUGGUGGAAUUCCCUGUGUAGCGGUGAAAUGCGUAGAGAUGGGGGAGAACACUCGUGGCGAAGGCGGCCAGCUAGACCAGUUCUGACACUGAGGCGCGACAGCGUGGGGAGCAAACAGG
rnacentral:rRNA from 1 species